CAUGGCCUCAGGUACCAGCACAGGGCCUGGUUUGGUGAAGAUGGCCUCGGCCAGAAGCGCAGGGCCUGGUGUGAUGUGAGUGGCCUGAGCAAGAGCCACAGGCCCUGGUGUGGUGUAAGUGGCCUCAGCCAGAAGCCACAGGCACUGGUGUGGUGUAAGUGGCCUCAGCCAGCAGCCACAGGCCCUGGUGUGGUGUAAGUGGCCUCAGCCAGCAGCCACAGGCCCUGGUGUGGUGUAAGUGGCCUCAGCCAGCAGCCACAGGCCCUGGUGUGGUGUAAGUGGCCUCAGCCACAGCCACAGGCCCUGGUGUGGUGUAAGUGGCCUCAGCCACAGCCACAGGCCCUGGUGUGGUGUAAGUGGCCUCAGCCAGCAGCCACAGGCCCUGGUGUGGUGUAAGUGGCCUCAGCCAGAGCCACAGGCCCUGGUGUGGUGUAAGUGGCCUCAGCCAGAGCCACAGGCCCUGGUGUGGUGUAAGUGGCCUCAGCCAGUGCCACAGGCCCUGGUGUGGUGUAAGUGGCCUGAGCAAGAGCCACAGACCCUGGUGUGGUGUAAUUGGCCUCAAUAGCAACUAAUGCCCUGGUGUGGUGUAGGUGGCCUCAGCCAGCAGCCACAGGCCCUGGUGUGGUGUAAGUGGCCUCAGCCACAGCCACAGGCCCUGGUGUGGUGUAAGUGGCCUCAAUAGCAACUAAUGCCCUGGUGUGGUGUAAGUGGCCUCAGCCAGCAGCCACAGGCCCUGGUGUGGUGUAAGUGGCCUCAGCCAGUGCCACAGGCCCUGGUGUGGUGUAAGUGGCCUGAGCAAGAGUCACAGACCCUGGUGUGGUGUAAUUGGCCUCAAUAGCAACUAAUGCCCUGGUGUGGUGUAGGUGGCCUCAGCCAGCAGCCACAGGCCCUGGUGUGGUGUAAGUGGCCUCAGCCAGUGUCACAGGCCCUGGUGUGGUGUAAGUGGCCUCAAUAGCAACUAAUGCCCUGGUGUGGUGUAAGUGGCCUCAGCCAGCAGCCACAGGCCCUGGUGUGGUGUAAGUGGCCUGAGCAAGAGCCACAGACCCUGGUGUGGUGUAAUUGGCCUCAAUAGCAACUAAUGCCCUGGUGUGGUGUAGGUGGCUUCAGCCAGCAGCCACAGGCCCUGGUGUGGUGUAAGUGGCCUCAGCCAGCAGCCACAGGCCCUGAUGUGGUGUAAGUGGACCCAGCCGGUCAC
ensembl:lncRNA